UCUGUAUUUUAUCAGUGGUAUAAAAUUGAAAUAAAUUUUGUGUCAAACUGUGAAUCUAAUUUUUUUCUGAAAUAAACAUUUUUAUUAUGAUUUAUAAUGAGUGUGCAGGAUCUUUUUCACGAAAAACAAGUACGCCAAUUGUGCGCAUUACAUGCUCUCAACAAUCUUUUCCAGCAAAACACGUUUGAGAAAACUGAAUUAGAUUCAAUAUGUUAUCGUUUGUCUCCAGAAAAUUGGAUAAAUCCUCACAAAUCUAUGUUGGGCUUUGGAAAUUACGAUAUUAAUGUUAUAAUCAAAGCUUUGGAAUCUAGAGGAUUUGAAGCCAUUUGGUUUGAUAAAAGAAAAGAUCCUAAUUGCUUGAACUGGACCAAUAUUUGUGGUUUUAUAUUAAACAUACCAAUGGACUAUAAAAUUAGUUUUAUUACAUUGCCCCUAAAAAGAAGGCAUUGGAUUGCAAUAAGGAGUAUAAUGGGGCAGUAUUACAAUUUAGAUUCCAAAUUGGACUACCCUGAACUAAUUGGUACUAAACAUGGGUGAAAAUCGGUAAUGCUAAUGCAGGCAAAAUUUAUCGAUUUGUUCUCGCUGGUGAUUUAGUGAAAAAAUCAAAUACAAAUAAUCAGUAUAGGGGUAAACAUACUUUUUUAUUAAUAACGUAACUAUGUGGUGUAACAAAAAUGACAAAAUAUAUUACACUAAAAGAAGAUAGGCUCAGCAUAUAUUUUACCUGCUUUAAAUAAUUCCUCCAUUCGUACUUACUUAUUACCCUAAAUACAAUCCAUCAUCAUACCGAAGGCCUAUACUUGAUAAAUUUUGAUGAACAAAGUUUGGCAGACGAUUUGUGCAAAUUCAUACGGGAACAGCUUAAGUCUCAAGACAAGGAACUAUUUGUCAUUGUGACUAAGGAAGUUGAACAAAAUCAGAACUGGAUAUUGGAUGAUACAAACUAGAAUAACCAAAUAUUGAUGAACCCAGCAAAUCAUGACAAAGGAUUUUUAACAAAUCACUAAAAUUUGCAGGUGCAGUAAAUAUAAAGUUUGCCAUUACAGUUGAUAAUUUUUGUUGAUUGCAUUUUUUUCGAGUUUGUAUUUCUGUCUACAAUAUUUUAUAAGCAAACAUUUGUACUGGAGCCAACAGAACCAACUUCUAAAUACAUGCUGAUAAGUUUAUAUCCUUUUUAUUAUUUGUAAUUUUAGCAAAACAAGAAAAAUAAAACUUUUUAUUACC